GAUAACUAUAAGAGGUCCAGCCUGCCCAGUGACUAAAAGUUAAACGGCCGCGGUACCCUAACCGUGCAAAGGUAGCACAAUCACUUGUUCUUUAAAUCAGGACUAGUAUGAACGGCCCCACGAGAGCUAUACUGUCUCCCCCCCUUAAUCAGUGAAACUGAUCUCCCCGUGAAGAAGCGGGGAUAUUCAUAUAAGACGAGAAGACCCCAUGGAGCUUUAAACUUGUACCACUGCCCUAAACCACAUCAAUCAACCGGGCAAAUAAUGGCUACUAGUCUUUCGGCUGGGGCGACCACGGAGAAAAACUAAACCUCCACGAUGAAAGGAACACCCUAAUUAAAGAGCUACAGCUCUAAAAAUCAACAAAUUGACAUAAUUGACCCAAACACCUUGAUCAACGAACCAAGUUACCCUGGGGAUAACAGCGCAAUCCAUUUCAAGAGACCCCAUCGACAAAUGGGCUUACGACCUCGAUGUUGGAUCAGGGUAUCCCAGUGGUGCAGCCGCUACUAAAGGUUCGUUUGUUCAACGAUUAAAACCCUACGUGAUCU
rnacentral:rRNA from 1 species